UGCUAUCCAGCCAUCCAGUAUGUAGUUCAGAUGCAUCAAAUCCUGCUUAGUCAUCUUAGCAGGUUGCCAGCUCUGUUUUGGGCCUAUAGACAGACAUGUUGAAUAACAAAUUAAAUAGUCAAACAAAGUGUGAAAUCAAAGGAUUAAAUGCUUUUUUUUUUUUUUUUUUUUUUUUUUUUUUUUGUCGUCAUCCAAGUGACAAACCUAGAUGCAUUGAGCCUAAGGGCAUCUAGAUUCAGGAGCUAGGUAAUGUCAUAUGAAAAACCAGCUAUGUUGUAAUCUUAAGUAUUUGGCCCAGCAUCACCCAGGGAGAGGACAUCAGGGAGUUUUCUCUAGUAUUAUCAGGGAAUUCCUGACACCAAAAUCCCUUGUGUAGCAAAAAGGCCAGCUGUGGCACUCACACUGUUAUUUAGCUCUGACAAUUCAGCCCUGUCGGAGUCCUGUUAAUUUACAUCAGACACUAAUUGGCACCAAUCUUUGAAACAAGCUUCCUAAUACAAGACUUAAUACUUGGCCAGGCAUUGUUAGAUAAAUUACAGGAACAAGAAUACAUCUCAUUGUAAUGUUUUGGAUGAAUAGUUGGAGGAUGCCCAAGCCCCAUAUGGUGACAGAGGUUCCAGUCGGUUCAGCAGUUUCCUGUGACCCCAGAAAAAGUGAGGCAGGCUGUGCCCCAGAGUUGUCCUGGACUGGAAGAAGAGGAUGAUCAGGCUGUACUGAACCCUCCUUGAUGAUGAGUGUGUGCCACAUGACGUCUUCAGAUAUCCAACCCUCAGGAAGCUUUGAUUGUUGUGGCUUCACAUAAGCUCACCAAGCCCUGCACACUGCCUUGACCUCCUGAUCUCCAGCCCCCGCAAGUCUGCAAACCUCUCUGCAACGUAGCAUGCCAACAUUGCACAACUCAGCUGACUAAACACAAACUAUGGCCAUUAAUGAACAAUGUAAACCUGACAAGAUGCAUCUUCUUGGAACCCAAGUCCUGCAAACGUUUGCACAAACUGUGUACCACCUAACCAGCAACGGAAUCAUCAAACCACGUCCCUCAAAGUGCUUAGGAGGCUCUUUUUUGCCAUCAGACUUGCCACUACUUGACACAACACAAACUGGACACCCAUCUGGGGAAAAUGCAACCACAACAUGAUUGGGAGAAGGACAUUCUGUAACUGUAUUUAUAUAUUGUAUUUGUAUGAUGAUUCUCUGAAGUGGGUAUUCAGCCCAUAGAAAAUGUACUAUGAUUCCAUUUGAAAUGUGUAUUGGUAUCUGAAGUACAUGUAUGCUCCUGUGUUGGAUAUCAAGUAAAAUCAUUGCUUGCUUCUUAA